CUAAAAUGCACAGGUCGUGAGUUCGAUGAGUAGGGCGGGACACGUGACAUCCUGUCUGAAUAUGGGGGGACCAUCCUCCAAGGCUAAAUACUCCUGACUGACCGAUAGUGAACCAGUACCGUGAGGGAAAGGCGAAAAGAACCCCGGCGAGGGGAGUGAAAUAGAACCUGAAACCGUGUACGUACAAGCAGUGGGAGCACCUUCGUGGUGUGACUGCGUACCUUUUGUAUAAUGGGUCAGCGACUUAUAUUUUGUAGCAAGGUUAACCGUAUAGGGGAGCCGUAGGGAAACCGAGUCUUAACUGGGCGAAUAGUUGCAAGGUAUAGACCCGAAACCCGGUGAUCUAGCCAUGGGCAGGUUGAAGGUUGGGUAACACUAACUGGAGGACCGAACCGACUAAUGUUGAAAAAUUAGCGGAUGACUUGUGGCUGGGGGUGAAAGGCCAAUCAAACCGGGAGAUAGCUGGUUCUCCCCGAAAGCUAUUUAGGUAGCGCCUCGUGAACUCAUCUUCGGGGGUAGAGCACUGUUUCGGCUAGGGGGCCAUCCCGGCUUACCAAACCGAUGCAAACUCCGAAUACCGAAGAAUGUUAUCACGGGAGACACACGGCGGGUGCUAACGUCCGUCGUGAAGAGGGAAACAACCCAGACCGCCAGCUAAGGUCCCAAAGUCAUGGUUAAGU
rnacentral:rRNA from 1 species